UACUUUCCCUCAUUACUUACAGUAAGUACUUCAGUAGUUUCUGAUAAUAUUGUAUUUGACAGAAAUAAUGGAAAUUAUGAUCGUGGCCAGACGCUCUCUGUUCUGGGACUUGCUAACCAAAGCAGAUCCGUUUUUCAGCUUAUUACCAGCGGCUUACCCAUCCUCAGUGAAGUUUCUCUCUCUCAGUCGCCGGGCCGCACACACCGGGGGCGACUGGCCGCCGUGUGCCAGCCGCCGGGCGCCUCCCGAGUACGUAGGUGUCCGCUCGCCCCCUCCGCCGGGGACCUGCCGCAGGUGAUUGCAGAGCUUCUCUGCCCUUCUCCUCAAGUCCUUCAACCUCCGCAGUCCUCAACAUGGGAGCCACGUCGAGCAGACGCCGUGGGGUCUCCGCUCGCUGACCCUUCCUGCACUGCAAAGCACGACAGAGAAGAGCGCCGUGACCCGCCGCCGGUGCCCUCGCGGAGGGGUGCUGCUAACUGCCGGCCACGCAGACCCCCAGCCCCCUCUCCGCCGCCAGGCCCGGCUCUCGGAGCAGCUCCCGACGGGCACAGACGAGGAGAGAGAGGCGAAGGCUGCGAGGCCGCGGCAGUGCGGGUGGUACUGCUGGAUGUGCGCGGCUGCACAGCCGGACAGAGCUGCAGCUGCCGUGCUCUGCGCCAAGCCCGGCCGUAGGACCGGGGAGGCACCCGGGGGUGUCUCGGCGGGGAUCACAGUGGGAACCCAGCGGAAGAUGCGCUUUGUAAUGAGAUGUGCCUUCAGUGCAGAGCUCCGGCUCCGCGGGCUGCCGCUGCAAUGGGCGACAGUGUUCCCGCUGCGGCUUGCCCCUCGGAGGAGAGACCUACUCUCCACUAGGCCUCGGCUUGCCCAGAACGUAGGGAAAAAAGUAUGGACUAUACUGUGAGAAAGGCUUUUUAAUUUUUACUUUUCAAAAAUGCAGUGUCAGGCCAAUUUUAGGAAUAAUAUAGCUGAGCUGACUUCACGGGGAAAGUUGUGGGUUUUUAAAAAUCAAAAUAAUUAAACUUGCCCUUUCUCCAAACCACAAGAGACCUGUUGAAUUGAUUCUAAGUUUCCCUUUCGUUGAUGGAGCAAAACGGCAUGCAGAAGUCUGCGGGGCCCCAUAUUUAGAUGAUAAAUUAUACAAUUUAUGUUGGAAGCAAAAGGAUAAAUACAGAUUUCAGUUGUUGCAUUAAUUCGUUAAAAAGUCUAGGAAAGUCUUAUCCACGGUUAAAUACGAAGGUAUUUCUCUCCCUUUCGCACAAUAGGAAACCAUUUGCACGCAUCAAAACGCGUGCCCAUGUCCAGGCGCGUGUAGCCGGGACAGGGUGCUGCCGCAGACCCGCGCAUCUGUAGCACUGCAGUGAUAGCUUCGUCAAAUGCCCACGCUUCGUAAAGUCCUGAUAAAACACGAGAAUACGGCUCUUCCUACCGCGGUGGAUGUGGGUUUGAUUCUCAGCUUUCGUUACGGGGGACAUGCAGACCUGUAUACACGAAAUACAUUAAGUACACACAAUCAAGAUAAAUGAGGUGCCUUUGUCUGGUUUUCUUUUCGUAAAAUAAACAUUGUCACCUCUGCUCA
rnacentral:lncRNA from 14 species